AUUGAACGCUGGCGGCAGGCCUAACACAUGCAAGUCGAGCGGAUGAAGGGAGCUUGCUCCUGGAUUCAGCGGCGGUCGGGUGAGUAAUGCCUAGGAAUCUGCCUGGUAGUGGGGGAUAACGUCCGGAAACGGGCGCUAAUACCGCAUACGUCCUGAGGGAGAAAGUGGGGGUUCUUCGGACCUCACGCUAUCAGAUGAGCCUAGGUCGGAUUAGCUAGUUGGUGGGGUAAAGGCCUACCAAGGCGACGAUCCGUAACUGGUCUGAGAGGAUGAUCAGUCACACUGGAACUGAGACACGGUCCAGACUCCUACGGGAGGCAGCAGUGGGGAAUAUUGGACAAUGGGCGAAAGCCUGAUCCAGCCAUGCCGCGUGUGUGAAGAAGGUCUUCGGAUUGUAAAGCACUUUAAGUUGGGAGGAAGGGCAGUAAGUUAAUACCUUGCUGUUUUGACGUUACCAACAGAAUAAGCACCGGCUAACUUCGUG
rnacentral:rRNA from 1 species